UCCAGACUCCUACGGGAGGCAGCAGUGAGGAAUAUUGGUCAAUGGGCGCGAGCCUGAACCAGCCAAGUCGCGUGAGGGAUGACGGCCCUACGGGUUGUAAACCUCUUUUGUCGGGGAGCAAAUUCCGUUACGUGUAACGGAGUCGAGAGUACCCGAAGAAAAAGCAUCGGCUAACUCCGUGCCAGCAGCCGCGGUAAUACGGAGGGUGCGAGCGUUAAUCGGAAUUACUGGGCGUAAAGCGCUCGUAGGCGGUAUGUCAAGUCAAGGGUGAAAUCCCCGCGCUCAACGUGGGAACUGCCUUUGAAACUGGCAAACUGGAGUGUGUGAGAGGAUAGUGGAAUUCCAGGUGUAGGAGUGAAAUCCGUAGAUAUCUGGAGGAACAUCAGUGGCGAAGGCGACUAUCUGGCACAUAACUGACGCUGAGGAGCGAAAGCGUGAGUAGCAAACAGGAUUAGAUACCCUAGUA
rnacentral:rRNA from 1 species